GACGAACGCUGGCGGCGUGCUUAACACAUGCAAGUCGAACGGAAAGGCCCUGCUUGCAGGGUACUCGGGUGGCGAACGGGUGAAUCACACCUGGGUGUUCUGCCUUGCACUUCGGGAUAAGCUUUAGUACCUGGGUCUAAUACCGGAUCGGAACCAUCUUGAGUGUGGUUGUUGGAACGUUUUAUCGGUGUGGGAUUAGCGCGCGGCCUAUCCGCGUGUUGGUGGGGUAAUGGCCUACCAAGGCGGCGACGGGGAGCCGGCCCGGGAGGGUGUACGGCCACAUUGAGAUUGAGACUGGGCCCAGACUCAGACUCGAGGGAGCAGUGGGGGAGGGGGAACAAGGGGCGCGAGCGUGAGGCAGCUACGGCGCGUGGGGGAGGAAGGCCUUCGGGUUGGAGACGUAAUUCGCUAGGGACGAAGCUUUUUGUGACGGUACCGAGAGAAGAAGCACCGGCUAACUACGUG
rnacentral:rRNA from 1 species